GACACGCUCACAUUGCACAAAUUUAAACUUGCGCCUUUUUUCAAUGCUGAUUUGAAUGUCAUUGAGAAAACAGAGAAGUGUCCAAUUUUUUUCGCAAACAUCCUUUCUCAAUUUAAAAGUAAUCCUCCAAGUAAUCAUCUAGUUUUUCAAAAGCAUCUGUAAUCUGAUUACAAUAUUUUACCUGGUAACGUAACGGAUUACAGUUACAUGUAAUCCGUUACUCCACAACCCUGCGCUUCAACACUCCAAGUUGUUGCAGAAAUCAGCUGCUGUUUGCUGUUUACGUCAUGCAUUGCUGAGUCUACCUUUAAGUAUGUCUCUCCGCAUUUGAAUGGCCACAGACUGACAGGCUCAAUAUAUGAGUUAUUUUGCUCCUGAUGAUGCUCCUACCACAGUAAAAGCCAAUGACUCCAAAAUGAUACUGCUACUGUAGCCUCAGUCAGUAUCUUCUGUUUUGUCUUGCAGCUCCAGUAACGACCACGGCAGGAAGAGUAAUGACCACAACAGGAAGAGGCCUCUGGUCGUGUUCGAUGGCAGCUCCUCUAUAAGUGGCCCUGUCAGACUGAAGAAACCAGGGGGUCAGGGUCUGGGGUGACAAACAGACUCAAGCCCCCUCCCUCCAUGAACCCCUCUAUCCCCAUACGCAAGCUACCCCCUCUUCGUCCUCCCAUUGACCAUGUCUGGGAAGCCCCCACAUCCUCCGUCCCCUCGGUUAAUGUAAAACGGCUCGGGGGAACUCAAAUCUCCAGAGGUGAAGAAAAAUAUCAAAAAGCGAAAUGGCCCUGAUCCUUGAUCCUACAGACCCACCAGCCCACUAUGGAGAGGAGCAGCCUCACACCGCGGGGGAUUCUCUACCAGUCAGGACAGCCACACAACAAUACCAACAUUGGGGUGGUGACAUGUGUCUUCAUCUACCUACCUGUCCCCCCGGACCCUAGAACUUCUCUCUGACCCUUUACCUGACCCUUGUGUGUCCCCCAGCACCCUCCCAUGGAGCUAGAACGAACUGUGACUCUAUUGACUCCUACUGCAGACAUGGCACCACAAUAUAUGUCCAGGAUUACUUUCUGGAAUAAGUAGGUAUUUUGCGAGGAAUACGCAGUUUAACCCUCUGUGCUACUCCAUGCAUUAUACUUCUGUGAUGCUGCCACCUACCUGAAAUCCUCUUACAGUAGUUGUUUCAGCGUUCAGUCUCCCAGUGCUGGUUAUAGAGCUAGAGUUAUGGAGGCUGAUGGUACUUAAAGCAUAAUAGGAAAA
rnacentral:lncRNA from 1 species